rnacentral:rRNA from 1 species
UCCAGACUCCUACGGGAGGCAGCAGUGGGGGAUAUUGCACAAUGGGGGGAACCCUGAUGCAGCGACGCCGCGUGGGUGAAGGAGCGUUUCGGCGCGUAAAGCCCUAUCGGCAGGGAAGAAGGAGGACGGUACCUGACUAAGAAGCCCCGGCUAACUACGUGCCAGCAGCCGCGGUAAUACGUAGGGGGCAAGCGUUAUCCGGAUUUACUGGGUGUAAAGGGGGCGCAGACGGCAGCGCAAGCCAGGAGUGAAAGCCCGGGGCCCAACCCCGGGGCUGCUCUUGGAACUGCGCGGCUGGAGUGCAGGAGGGGCAGGCGGAAUUCCUGGUGUAGCGGUGAAAUGCGUAGAUAUCAGGAGGAACACCGGUGGCGAAGGCGGCCUGCUGGACUGCGACUGACGUUGAGGCCCGAAAGCGUGGGGAGCAAACAGGAUUAGAUACCCUCGUAG